UUCCUAAAAACUAAAAGAAGCAGCCGCAAUUACCCCCACCUCACUUGACAAAAAAUCGGCACACCCCUCUCUAUCUCUAAGCCUUAGUCGUCCAAUACACCAUUUCCUAUGGCUUUAAUUCACGCUCUUAUUGAGUUGUGAUUUUGAAUCGUUGCUUUCUAUUUUGGAAAGAAGCUAACAGCCGCUUCAAUGACCAUAUUCGAUCCUUCCUUUUUUCCAUUUGCAUUUUGAGACUUCCUCGAAAACCUUUCCGGCUUUUCAGUUUGGGUGGAGUUGAAACGGUUGUUCGAUCGUUGGUAUAGGUGUUCAAGGUGCGAUCUGUUGGUUUCGUUCGAGUUGGAUUUGCUGUUUCAAAUUUCAUUCUUAGCUCGGCAUUCUGUCCAUGAAUUGCCAAAAUUAUUUUUAUUGCAAGUUAUUUUCAGUUUCAUCUAUUCCUCAUUUUUAUCUGGUUGUUUGAAUUUAUGUAAUAUUAAGUAUGGUAUUGAUCCUUUGAGUUAUCC
rnacentral:lncRNA from 1 species